GAUGAACGCUGGCGGCGUGCCUAAUACAUGCAAGUCGAGCGAACAGACGAGGAGCUUGCUCCUCUGACGUUAGCGGCGGACGGGUGAGUAACACGUGGAUAACCUACCUAUAAGACUGGUAUAACUUCGGGAAACCGGAGCUAAUACCGGAUAAUAUAUUGAACCGCAGGGUUCAAUAGUGAAAGACGGUUUUGCUGUCACUUAUAGAUGGAUCCGCGCCGCAUUAGCUAGUUGGUAAGGUAACGGCUUACCAAGGCGACGAUGCGUAGCCGACCUGAGAGGGUGAUCGGCCACAUUGGAACUGAGACACGGUCCAGACUACUACGGGAGGCAGCAGUAGGGAAUCUUACGCAAUGGGCGAAAGCCUGACGGAGCAACGACGAGUGAGUGAUGAAGGUCUUCGGAUCGUAAAACUCUGUUAUUAGGGAAGAACCAAUGUGUAAGUAACUAUGCACGUAUUGACGGUACCUAAUCAGAAAGCCACGGCUAACUACGUG
rnacentral:rRNA from 1 species